rnacentral:lncRNA from 1 species
GACCAUUUUUAUAUGCAAGCUCCUGGAAUGCCUGUGGUUUCUCCAGCACCUGGGUCCUGCUGGCAACCAGCAGCACCCAGUGGCCAGCAGCGUACUCUUUCACCUCUUCUUGGGUGACUUUGUGGAAUGCUCCAAUGUGACAUCUCCCUGUGAACGCCUUUCCUGACACCCUAAAAAGUGUCAGGAAUUUCCAGCAAGUUCCAGAGAGCAGGUUUCCAGCAAGUUUGGUCAGUAUGACACCACAGCGAUAUCUCUGCCAUUCACUGAACUUGGAUUCUUCCUUCUUCAGUGAGAGAUGUUCAAGAAAAAGAACAACUUCAGUGGAAGAAGAAGAAGAUAGGAGCCCAGGUCCUGUGUUUCACCAAGACAGCCGUGCAAAGCAGAUGCUGCCAAAAAGGUGCAAAGUGGUUUGUCAGCUCUUCUGCAUGUUCUAACAAAUUAGACAUGCAUCCCAAAAGGUUUCCUAGACUUUCCAUCACCACCAGUGAAUUCUGAGUGACAAUAGUGUGGAAUUUGGAAGAAUGGAAGAGAAACUGAAGUGGAGAGAUGGUGAAAGAGAAGAAAAAAUGAAGAAAGAUGCUUGCAAAAAUACUGCUGUGGGUCCUGAGAUGAGGAUUCUGGGAGGGCUGAAAUGGAUGCCCCUGACAGCUCCCUUUGAGUUCCUGUUCAUCUGAAGUACACCAGCUUUCUAGAUAUGCUGUCACUUUCCUUCUGCAGAGCCACAGUGGUGUCCUGUCUUCUCAGACCUCUUCUCACCUCAAAUCACUUAGGACUCGGCCACCAGACAGAUUUGGGAUUUCAGAACUUUUCAGAUGUUAGAAAGUUCUUUUCUAAAUGUGAUGAGGAAUUACGGAAUCAUAAAAUGGAAGCAGAGUUAAACUCAGACAUGUGGGCACUCAAGGCAAUUAGGAGCUUUCUGCGAUGAGAAAGGGAUCAGACUGAUCCUUAAGACUUUAUGCAACCCCAGAGUAUUGCAGCCACCUGCAUGCCGAAGGUGUCAAGAGUGUUCUCACUGCUGCCUAUAGGAGGGUCUUCAGCCUCCAGUGAUCCAAAGUACCAGGCUGACCUGUGACUGCUUCGGCCAACUGAAUAGGGAAGAGUGAUGCUGUGCUGUUUCCAGGCCUGUUCUUUAAAAGUACUUGGAAGCUUCUGCCUUGGCCUCUUUGUGCCUGAGUUGCUGUAUAAGAAUCUGACUACCUUGCUGGAGAGACCUUGUGGAGAAGACUUGACCUUAUAUGCAGAGGUAGAGGGGCCCUGGUUAGUCCAGCCAUCUAGCCAUCCUGUCAAAAUAGCAGAUCCAUUUCCUGCCCUUCUUUUAUUCUACUCUGUAUUACAGCCAACCACAUUUCCAGGCUCCCUUGUCCUCUGCUAUCUAGAUCUGUAUGCAAGAAGAAAUGAAAAAGAUGAACAGGUAGAGUCCAGGACUACCUACCACAGCUCAGGAGUAUGAUGGCCAAUGGAUCCAAAACCUAUCCUAUAUCUACAUGUUGGUGGCCACAUUAAUCUGACAUCUGACAGCAAGAGCGAUGAUUGGGUUCACUGGAAAUCUUUGUGAAGUACGAGUGAAGUCCUUGUGAAGUCAGAGUUUCCUCUUCAUGCCUCUACUCCUAUGCAGUUUGACCUCUCAGUGUGCAGCUGGUGAUAGAUGGAAACCCUUGUUCAUAAGCUUUGUGGCACUGUCGGCAGGAUGAGGGGACUUCUGGAUCCUCACUGGUCACUGUGGCAGAGUGGUUGGUGUUGUCUGCUCCCUAGACAGGAACCCACUGAAGAAUCUGACAUUUUUUGAUAUGCUGGCAUUCAUUGUUACAGCCCAUCAUCCCAGCCAUCAAUCCAGGACAUGGGGUCUGUGCCCACGGUGGGAAGGAGGAGGGGGAAGCUGGCUUUGUUCUGACGUUGGGCUUCUUCUGCUCCACCAGUACUUUCUGUGGGGGAAAUAGGUAAAGAAAUGGCUGUUCAGAUGAGAAGAUGUGUCAGUAAACUUUUGCUACAGUGAUGCUGCAAAACAAAUCACUGGUGACUUUCAGUGGCACACAGCAAUAAACAUUUAUUUAGCUCAGGGAUUGACAAUCUUUUUUUUUUUUUAAAGGGCCAAAUAGUAAAUAUUUUAGGUGUUUCAGGCCAUACAGUCUCUGAACUCUGAACUUGUAGCACAACAGUAGCCUUAGAUGCUAUGCAAAUGGAGGAGCAUGACUGUGUUCCAAUAAAACUUUAUUUAUGGACACUAAAAUUGGAAUUUCAUGGAAUUUUUAUAUGUUAAGAAAUAUUAUACUUUGAUUUUUU